rnacentral:rRNA from 1 species
GAACGCGAAGAACCUUACCAGGUCUUGACAUUGAUGGACAGAACUAGAGAUAGUUCCUCUUCUUCGGAAGCCAGAAAACAGGUGGUGCACGGUUGUCGUCAGCUCGUGUCGUGAGAUGUUGGGUUAAGUCCCGCAACGAGCGCAACCCCUAUCUUAUGUUGCCAGCACUUUGGGUGGGAACUCAUGAGAGGCUGCCGCAGACAAUGCGGAGGAAGGCGGGGAUGACGUCAAAUCAUCAUGCCCCUUAUGACCUGGGCUACACACGUACUACAAUGGGAGUUAAUAGACGGAAGCAAUACCGCGAGGUGGAGCAAACCCGAGAAACACUCUCUCAGUUCGGAUCGUAGGCUGCAACUCGCCUACGUGAAGUCGGAAUCGCUAGUAAUCGCAGGUCAGCAUACUGCGGUGAAUACGUUCCCGGGUCUUGUACACACC